AUUGAACGCUGGCGGCAGGCCUAACACAUGCAAGUCGAACGGUAGCACAGAGAGCUUGCUCUCGGGUGACGAGUGGCGGACGGGUGAGUAACGUCUGGGAAACUGCCCGAUGGAGGGGGAUAACUACUGGAAACGGUAGCUAAUACCGCAUAACGUCGCAAGACCAAAGUGGGGGACCUUCGGGCCUCACACCAUCGGAUGUGCCCAGAUGGGAUUAGCUAGUAGGUGGGGUAAUGGCUCACCUAGGCGACGAUCCCUAGCUGGUCUGAGAGGAUGACCAGCCACACUGGAACUGAGACACGGUCCAGACUCCUACGGGAGGCAGCAGUGGGUAAUAUUGCACAAUGGGCGCAAGCCUGAUGCAGCCAUACCGCGUGUAUGAAGAAGGCCUUCGGGUUGUAAAGUACUUUCAGCGGGGAGGAAGGCGGUGGAGUUAAUAACUUCACCGAUUGACGUUACCCGCAGAAGAAGCACCGGCUAACUCCGUGCCAGCAGCCGCCGUAA
rnacentral:rRNA from 1 species